CUAGAUCACUUUGGCCCAGAGAAGUUGGGGAUGACUCCAUCUUGGCCAAAGUGACUCCGGGUGCUGGGUCAGGUAGGUCUCUGACCCAGAAGGGUGUGCUCAUUGUGAGUCCUGCCUCCCAGGUCUGGUCCAGGAAAACAGAGUCCCUCCAGACAGGUAGUGCCUCUGGCUUUGACAGGCCCCAUCUAUGCCUGUCCCUUUGGGCCUGGAAGCAGCUCCCCACGAGUUCAGUUCUCUUAGACAGCAAGAUGCAUGGAUCAUUUCACCUCCAUGGAAAAGCCACUGUGCCAGUCAAAACAGUUCCAGGAUUAAUUUUAAACAAAAAGCCUGUUUACAUGAAUAAUCAUUACUGAACGUGCCUCAGUAAGAAAAGACUGCUUACUAUUGCUGCCUAUUGUUAAAAGCCAAUGCAUUAUGCAUUGUUUGAAUUAAAUCAAGAUCUCUAUAGCAGUGGAUGAAUCUA